GCCUGUGUGGUGCAAUGGGCAGCACUCUGGACUCACACUCCAGCGAUCCCGGUUCGACCCCGAGCACAGGCC